GCCAGCAUGGUGUAGUGGUUUGAACAUUGGACUACAACUCUGGAGACCAGGGUCCAAAUCCCUGCUCAAGCA